rnacentral:rRNA from 1 species
GCAUCUGACCGGCCUUGAAAGAGGUUUUCCCUUCGGGCAGAUGUGUAGGUGCUGCAUGGUUGUCGUCAGCUCGUGCCGUGAGGUGUCGGCUUAAGUGCCAUAACGAGCGCAACCUCAUCAUAGUUACCAUCAGGUAAGGCUGGGGACUCUAAUGAGACUGCCAUCGUAAGAUGUGAGGAAGGUGGGGAUGACGUCAAAUCAGCACGGCCCUUACGUCCGGGGCGACACACGUGUUACAAUGGGUGGUACAAAGGGCAGCUACCUGGCGACAGGAUGCUAAUCUCCAAAACCACUCUCAGUUCGGAUCGGAGUCUGCAACUCGACUCCGUGAAGCUGGAUUCGCUAGUAAUCGCGCAUCAGCCACGGCGCGGUGAAUACGUUCCCGGGCCUU